rnacentral:rRNA from 1 species
GACGAACGCUGGCGGCGUGCUUAACACAUGCCAGUCGUACGGUAAGGCCCUUUCGGGGGUACACGAGUGGCGCACGGGUGAGUAACACGUGAGUAACCUGCCCACAACUUUGGGAUAACGCUAGGAAACUGGUGCUAAUACUGGAUAUGUGCUCCUGCUGCAUGGUGGGGGUUGGAAAGCUCCGGCGGUUGUGGAUGGACUCGCGGCCUAUCAGCUUGUUGGUGGGGUAGUGGCCUACCAAGGCGGCGACGGGUAGCCGGCCUGAGAGGGUGACCGGCCACAUUGGGACUGAGAUACGGCCCAGACCCCUCCGGGAGGAAGCAGGGGGGAAUUUUGCACAAGGGGCGCAAGCCUGAUGCAGCAACGCCGGGGGGGGGAUGACGGCCUUCGGGUUGUAAACCGUUUUCAGCGGGGAAGAAGUUUUUUGGGACGGGCCCUGCAGAAGAAGCACCGGCUAACUACGG